GCCUGGCUGGCUCAGUCAGAAGAGCAUAUGACUCCUGAUCUUGGAAACAUGAGUUCAAGCCCCAUAUUGGGUG
rnacentral:tRNA from 1 species